GAAACGUUAGAAGUCGGCGGUAGAGUGAAGGAAAGAGCGUUCGUUAUCUCAGGCCGAAAGCAGUAAGUCCCCACCAAAGCGGCCGUUCGCCUCCUCUUAGAAACAGAGAAAAACUCCAGCGGACUCCCAGCUCCAGCUGCGACUUCCUCACAAGUACAACACCCUUCGCCAAGCGAAGUGAGGGAGGAAGACGUAGUGACCAGAAGAGAGCGGGUCCCUCAGAGUGGAAGAAUGAAGUGAGGCGGGCUCCCCUUCGGCCGCAGUAGCCCUUCACCAACCCAGCCACCCCGCGAGGCCCUCGCUUCCCGGAACCCAGCCGGAUCUGCCACCAUAGAACCAAAGCUAGAAGACCUCCCGUCCCGCUCCCGCUCCCUCUGCACUCCACCCUCGGCUCACACGCCAGAGUACCGCCGCGUCCCCUCCACCUCCAAGUCCCUGGCACCCGCCCCCGCCGGCAGUGCUGCUCCUGUACCGCGCCACUUCCGGGUGUGUCCCACUUGGUGCUCAAAACAAACUGUCCCUCCACGGCUGCCACUCUACGCAGCCGGACCGGAUUUCUCAGGCUGGAGAAGCUACUCUGCGCGUCUUCGUGAAGGAGAACUCUUGCGUUCUGCUAGCCAGGGUCCCAGCUCCGACCCUGCUAGUUAGGACAAAGCUCUAGGAGGUGUCUAAGGGGGUGGGGGGAACCGUAAAGGGGAAACACUCGAGAUCCGGAAGUGGCGCUCCGGGGAGAAGGUGGCUGCGGCUGCUGGGGCCGCUGCGCCGGCGGCGGUUCCCGAUGUGGAGGUCCGUCUUGGGUGGGGAGGCACCCAGGUCGCUGGUUCGAUGCAGAGGAAGAAACCACACCUAGCACGUAAAGCCCUGAAAAAAUAGAGGUCUUCUUUUAUGGAAAAAGAUGCACGCAAAGACUAUAGGCCAAGUACAACAACAAGAUAUUACAGCAAAAGGAACCUCUCAGACUGAAGGUACCCACUAUGCAGACUCUGGUGCUUAUUAUUUCCAAGAACAUCUUAUACUUUCACUACAGUUUUAUGAACUACAUGUCUCCAAAAUUUAUAUGAAUGAUAGGUACUCAUCAUUCUGCAAAUUAUUUUUUUCCCAUACAACAUUAUGUGCUUGAGAUUAAUCCAUGCUGAUACGUUUACUGCUAAACGGGUCAUUUUAACUACUAUAUGGUGUUCUAUUAUGUGAAUAUUGAUUAUUUAUUUACCCAUUCUCAUGCUAGGGGACAUUGAUUUUUUUUUAGUUUUUCUCUAUUACAAACAAUAUUUCAGAGAAUAUUCCUGCCCAUGUAUCUUUCUGCAGAUGUGUUUGAGUUUCUCUAGUGGAAUCACUGAGUUAAAGGGAUAUGUAUCUUUAAUUUCACUGGUCUAGGCCAAAUAUCUGAUUCACUUGCCCAUAUUCUUACUGAGAUGGUUGGUCAAGUUAUGUAUUUAUUUUUUCAUUUUCUUUUUUUAUUUUGCCCCGGGCAGGAAAUGAAGUGUUAAUCAAGUUGACAAGAGCAUCAUCUUUCUAUUUCUAACCUUUUCUAGAUUUAAACAGAUAGAAAUAUGGCAGAAUUCUUUUAGAAGUCAAGAAGACUAACAUAAAAUAAGGAGCUUUCAGAUGGAUCUUGAUCAGAACCACAUAAAAAUAUGGCCAUGUCCUGUCAUCGCAUUAUGAAAUUUACAACACAGCACUGUCAAUAUGUGAUGUUGCAAAAACACAGUGCCACAUGGUAAACAUUGCCGAGGUCUGUGAAUAAAUCCCUCUGAGAGCUUAUGACUCUUUAUGACCCAGUUCACAAAUGAAAUAACUUUUAGAGUAGAGAAACAUUGACUUUUUAGAUCAAGAUAAUGGGAAAUGUUAAAUUCUGACCCAUAACACCAACUGAACUACUGUUUUAAUGCUGUCCUUAAAUAGGCAACAUGUCUAUUAGUUUAAUUUGGUGUUCUAAAUGCUGGAUCUUAUGCAAUUCCUUUAGCCUUGUAUUUAAGAUGAUCUAUUUGGAAAGAUAGGUUAUGGGAAAACUUUCUUAGUCUCAGCCCCUGCAAUUAAACAGUUUAUGUUUCCUCAUUCAACAAAUAUUAAAAUAUAAUAAAGAAUAUGAAAGUAUUUAUAUUAUCUACUUAACAUAGUUUUUUUCCCUAUAUUCAUUUUCUUAUUUAGAUAAAAGAUGUAGGGCAUGAACAAUGCAGUUUCACUGGGAGGUUUACCUUGGUAAAAAGACAGGAGCUAUUACAUUCUAUCUUGUCAAUGAUCCAUGGAUAAUGGGUCAGCAGGGGAUUUAAGAACUGUAUCUUUCAGUUCUUGCCAGAGAGAUACAUCAAUGUGCACUGAUGUGAGCUAUAAUAUGACACACCUUGCAGAACCCUCAAAACCCUUCAGGCACUCUAAGCUGCUUUUAUGAAGAUACGGGACUAAAGGUUGUCAGUUAAGGAUGGUAUUUUGUAAAUAAUUUCGGUAACAGAAUGAUUUCCCUAUUUCUCCAUAUUAAAUUCUAAUGCAUAAGAAUUAAUCCUCAGGUUUAAAAGUCCUUAGUUUUGUUUUGAUUAUUUCCAUUACAUUAGCAGCAGAUCUGUUUUUACCGAUAGGGUAAAACAGACCCAAUAUAUGCGUUGGUUUAUACAUACAUUAUUUUAUAUAUACAUUGUUUAUUGUUAAGUGGGGGUGGAGGGAAGCAAGUUGAAAAAUAGUAUUACAGUAGAUCCUAUUUGUGUGUGAUUGUCCAGAUUAGUUGGGGUGGGAGCAGAUAAUAAGAAAUUUACCUUAUACACUUAUAUACUGUUUGAAUAUUUUAAAAUAAGUAUGAUUGUUUUUAUCAUCUAAAAAAUAAGUAAAUUUACUUUUCAAUGUA
rnacentral:lncRNA from 1 species